AGCAGCCGCGGUAAUUCCAGCUCCAAUAGCGUAUAUUAAAGUUGCUGCAGUUAAAAAGCUCGUAGUUGAAUUUCGGGACCAAUAUGUCGGUCGUGCCUCGGUACGCACUGGCUUAUAGGUUUCUCCCUUCUGACGAACCAUGAUGUCAUUAAUUUGGUGUCUUGGGGAAUCAGGACUGUUACUUUGAAAAAUUAGAGUGUUUAAAGCAGGCUCACGCUUGAAUACAUUAGCAUGGAAUAAUGAAAUAGGACGUUUGAUUCUAUUUGUUGGUUUCUAGGAUCGACGUAAUGAUUAAUAGGGAUAGUUGGGGGCAUUAGUAUUCAAUUGUCAGAGGUGAAAUUCUUGGAUUUAUUGAAGACUAACUACUGCGAAAGCAUUUGCCAAGGAUGUUUUCAUUAAUC
rnacentral:rRNA from 1 species